CAUUUCAGAACUGAAGUCCACGGCAGAAAAGAACAAG
rnacentral:sRNA from 1 species